UUAAGCUGAAGUGGUCUGGGUGCCUAUAGUUGUCCUUUAAUUAGUAGCGAAAUGUUCUUGGUAACAAACACACCUGAAUCAAAAGAGAAUUUCAAUUCAGAUGUCUCAGAAUACAAGAAACCAAUGAAAAUUGGAGGGACACUCUAGGCAUCAUAACCAUUACAAGGAGCUGUAGUGAUAAUGGUGUCAUGAGAACAUUGGUGCAAUUUCUGUUUUAUUAUUUUUCUCUCUAUUUAACAGAUAUUUUGCCGGGUAAGGAGUAUGUAAAUAACUUUUAUCUAGCAGUGCUGUAAGAGAAUAAUCAGAGUGCUCAUGCAUUUUUAAAGAAUGUUUUACUCACCUCCACUGCUCCAUUUACCACAGUAAUCCCUAUAAUAGCACAUACUGGGAUGCGGGAAUGAGCAAUGACAGUUCCUUUUUUU